ensembl:lncRNA
GGGUCUCUCUCUCUCUCUGUGUGUUUGUAGUCUCUCGAUGGAGAGGGGUCAUUUAGCUGGAGGGGGUCUCUCUCUCUCUCUGUGUGUUUGUAGUCUCUCGAUGGAGAGGGGUCAUUUAGCUGGAGGGGGUCUCUCUCUCUCUCUGUGUGUUUGUAGUCUCUCGAUGGAGAGGGGUCAUUUAGCUGGAGGGGGUCUCUCUCUCUCUCUCUGUGUGUUUGUAGUCUCUCGAUGGAGAGGGGUCAUUUAGCUGGAGGGGGUCUCUCUCUCUCUUUGUGUGUUUGUAGUCUUCAGUGUGUAAAAUGUAACCACACUUAAACACACUUAAAUGCUGAACACGCAGAUGUUGGGGUACUCACCAACCGGUCGAAGCAACCGGGAGAAGCUGGAUCAGGGUAGAGGGCCAGAACAAACCCUGGUCACGCCAAACACCAGGUUGAAUAAAGUCUACUAUGGAUGAGGAGAUAGAGACCUCUGAGACCACUCUGUCUGGGGAACAUGGCCGCCAGAGCAAAGCUAAGAGCCCAGAGCAGCAGCAGAGAGCAGACUCCC